rnacentral:rRNA from 1 species
UUGGAGGGCAAGUCUGGUGCCAGCAGCCGCGGUAAUUCCAGCUCCAAUAGCGUAUAUUAAAGUUGUUGCAGUUAAAAAGCUCGUAGUUGAAUUUCGGGAUCAGAGUGUCGGUCGUGCCUCGGUACGCACUGGCAUUAUUGGUUCCUACCUUCUGAAGAACCGCGAUGUCAUUAAUUUGGUGUCGUGGGGAAUCAGGACUGUUACUUUGAAAAAAUUAGAGUGUUUAAAGCAGGCUUACGCUUGAAUACAUUAGCAUGGAAUAAUGAAAUAGGACGUUUGAUUCUAUUUUGUUGGUUUCUAGGAUUGACGUAAUGAUUAAUAGGGAUAGUUGGGGGCAUUAGUAUUCAAUUGUCAGAGGUGAAAUUCUUGGAUUUAUUGAAGACUAACUACUGCGAAAGCAUUUGCCAAGGAUGUUUUCAUUAAUCAAGAACGAAAGUUAGGGGAUCGAAGACGAUCAGAUACCGUCGUAGUCUUAACCAUAAACUAUGCCGACUAGGGAUCGGAUGAUGUUAAUUUUUUAAUGACUCAUUCGGCGCCUUACGGGAAAC